rnacentral:rRNA from 1 species
CAACUUUUGACAACGGAUCUCUUGGCUCUUGCAACGAUGAAGAACGCAGCGAAUUGCGAUAAGUAAUGUGAAUUGCAGAAUUCAGUGAAUCAUCAAAUCUUUGAACGCACAUUGCGCUUUCUGGUAUCCCGGAAAGCAUGCCUGUUUGAGAAUCGAUA